rnacentral:snRNA from 1 species
GGCUCACUUCAGCUUCAGAGCUC